rfam:Tauraco erythrolophus contig56635, whole genome shotgun sequence.
AAUAAGGUUUUUUUUAAAACCAUUUAAGUUAUUUUGCUAGUUCUGU